UCACUAAGCAUUGCUGAGGCUUAACGACGGCUUAUGGCUCCGUCAGGCGGUGUUCACUGCCUCUGUAUUCGAGAAGCCACGAGCCUCACCAUCACGGCUCAAGCUCCUAUGUUCAGAGGGGCAUGAUGAACCGAGGCUGCGAGCAUGAGAAGCUUGGAGGAGCGGCGAGAGAGGCCAAGGAGAGGCUCGAUGAGAAGCUCAGGACACAGGGGAUAAAAUCAGAGUGCAGAAGGAGUGGCUGAAGGCUUACUCUCGGAGAUGCUAUGGUAAGAGAGUCCGUCAAGUUGAGGCAGCUUGGGAAAGACAUUAUCACACCAUCUACAAUUGUACGGAUGGAAUACAAUAUGUCUCCUAGAACUUCUAUCGAUUGUCAUUUUAAGUAUAUACCUUCUUCGGUUUUCCAGAUUUUGCUCUUGAAAUGCUUCAUCACUCAGGCUGCAUUGUUUUACUUCCUAGAAGAGGAUAGUCAAAAAAUUCGGUUGACAAUAUUUCUCAAUGUCAAAGAUGUGAUGUAUCUGAUGUAUAUUAGCUAUAAAGAAAGUCUUAUGCUUUUCUGAA